UACGUAGGGUGCAAGCGUUAAUCGGAAUUACUGGGCGUAAAGCGUGCGCAGGCGGUUUUGUAAGUCAGAUGUGAAAUCCCCGGGCUUAACCUGGGAACUGCGUUUGAAACUGGAUGGCUGGAGUUUGGGAGAGGGAUGCGGAAUUCCAGGUGUAGCGGUGAAAUGCGUAGAUAUCUGGAGGAACACCGGUGGCGAAGGCGGCAUCCUGGACCAACACUGACACUGAAAAGCGAAAGCCAGGGGAGCAAACGGG
rnacentral:rRNA from 1 species